AUACGAAGGUCCCAAGCGUUAUUCGGAAUCACUGGGCGUAAAGAGUGCGUCGGCGGUUUGGUAAGUCAGGUGUGAAAUCCCGAAGCUCAACUUCGGAACUGCAUCCGAUACUGCCAGACUAGAGUAAUGGAGAGGCAGGUGGAAUUCUCGGUGUAGCAGUGAAAUGCGUGGAUAUCGAGAGGAAGACCAAUGGCGAAGGCAGCCUGCUGGACAUUUACUGACGCUGAGGUACGAAGGCUAGGGGAGCGAAAGGGAUUAGAAACCCGAGUAGUCC
rnacentral:rRNA from 1 species